rnacentral:rRNA from 1 species
AAUGAACGCUGGCGGCGUGCCUAAUACAUGCGAGUCGAGCGAACGGACGAGAAGCUUGCUUUUCUGAUGUUAGCGGCGGACGGGUGAGUAACACGUGGAUAACCUACCUAUAAGACUGGGAUAACUUCGGGAAACCGGAGCUAAUACCGGAUAAUAUUUUGAACCGCAUGGUUCAAAAGUGAAAGACGGUCUUGCUGUCACUUAUAGAUGGAUCCGCGCUGCAUUAGCUAGUUGGUAAGGUAACGGCUUACCAAGGCAACGAUGCAUAGCCGACCUGAGAGGGUGAUCGGCCACACUGGAACUGAGACACGGUCCAGACUCCUACGGGAGGCAGCAGUAGGGAAUCUUCCGCAAUGGGCGAAAGCCUGACGGAGCAACGCCGCGUGAGUGAUGAAGGUCUUCGGAUCGUAAAACUCUGUUAUUAGGGAAGAACAUAUGUGUAAGUAACUGUGCACAUCUUGACGGUACCUAAUCAGAAAGCCACGGCUAACUACGUG